rnacentral:tRNA from 3 species
GCGGGCGUGGUGGAAUGGUAGACACACAGGACUUAAAAUCCUGAGAGGGUAUCCUCGUGCGGGUUCGAGUCCCGCCGCCCGCACCA